GAUGAACGCUGGCGGCGUGCCUAAUACAUGCAAGUCGAGCGAAUGGAUUAAGAGCUUGCUCUUAUGAAGUUAGCGGCGGACGGGUGAGUAACACGUGGGUAACCUGCCCAUAAGACUGGGAUAACUCCGGGAAACCGGGGCUAAUACCGGAUAACAUUUUGAACCGCAUGGUUCGAAAUUGAAAGGCGGCUUCGGCUGUCACUUAUGGAUGGACCCGCGUCGCAUUAGCUAGUUGGGGAGGUAAGGGCUCACCAAGGCAACGAUGCGUAGCCGACCUGAGAGGGUGAUCGGCCACACUGGGACUGAGACACGGCCCAGACUCCUACGGGAGGCAGCAGUAGGGAAUCUUCCGCAAUGGACGAAAGUCUGACGGAGCAACGCCGCGUGUGUGAUGAAGGCUUUCGGGUCGUAAAACUCUGUUGUUAGGGAAGAACAAGUGCUAGUUGAAUAAGCUGGCACCUUGACGGUACCUAACCAGAAAGCCACGGCUAACUACGUGCCAGCCGCCGCUGUAA
rnacentral:rRNA from 1 species